ACCAGACUCCUACGGGAGGCAGCAGUGGGGGAUAUUGCACAAUGGGGGGAACCCUGAUGCAGCGACGCCGCGUGGGUGAAGAAGCGCCUCGGCGCGUAAAGCCCUGUCAGCAGGGAAGAAAAUGACGGUACCUGAAGAAGAAGCCCCGGCUAACUACGUGCCAGCAGCCGCGGUAAUACGUAGGGGGCAAGCGUUAUCCGGAUUUACUGGGUGUAAAGGGGGCGCAGACGGCGAUGCAAGCCAGGAGUGAAAGCCCGGGGCCCAACCCCAGGCCUGCUCUUGGAACUGCGUGGCUGGAGUGCAGGAGGGGCAGGCGGAAUUCCUGGUGUAGCGGUGAAAUGCGUAGAUAUCAGGAGGAACACCGGUGGCGAAGGCGGCCUGCUGGACUGCAACUGACGUUGAGGCCCGAAAGCGUGGGGAGCAAACAGGAUUAGAUACCCUAGUA
rnacentral:rRNA from 1 species